rnacentral:rRNA from 1 species
UACGUAGGUGGCAAGCGUUGUCCGGAUUUAUUGGGUUUAAAGGGUGCGUAGGCGGCCUAUUAAGUCAGUGCUGAAAUAUCCCGGCUUAACCGGGAGGGUGGCAUUGAUACUGAUGGGCUUGAGUAAAGUUGAGGUAGGCGGAAUUGACGGUGUAGCGGUGAAAUGCUUAGAUAUCGUCAAGAACACCUAUUGCGAAGGCAGCUCGUUACACGAAUAUUGACACUGAUGCACGAAAGCGUGGGGAUCAAACAGG